CGGCAGGCUUAACACAUGCAAGUCGAGGGGUAACAGGGAGUGCUUGCACUCCGCUGACGACCGGCGAACGGGUGCGUAACGCGUAUGCAACUUGCCUUCUACAGGGGAAUAGCCCAGAGAAAUUUGGAAUAAUACCCCAUAAGGUCAUUUAAUGGCAUCAUUAAAUGAAGAAAACUCCGGUGGUAGAAGAUGGGCAUGCGUCCUAUUAGUUAGUUGGUAAGGUAACGGCUUACCAAGACAUCGAUAGGUAGGGGUCCUGAGAGGGAGAUCCCCCACACUGGUACUGAGACACGGACCAGACUCCUACGGGAGGCAGCAGUGAGGAAUAUUGGACAAUGGAGGCAACUCUGAUCCAGCCAUGCCGCGUGCAGGAAGACGGCCCUACGGGUUGUAAACUGCUUUUAUACAGGAAGAAUUGUACCUACGUGUAGGUACUUGACGGUACUGUAAGAAUAAGGAUCGGCUAACUCCG
rnacentral:rRNA from 1 species